UACGUAGGGUGCAAGCGUUGUCCGGAAUUAUUGGGCGUAAAGAGCUCGUAGGCGGCUUGUUGCGUCGGCUGUGAAAUCCCGGGGCUUAACUCCGGGCGUGCAGCCGAUACGGGCAGGCUAGAGUCCGGUAGGGGAGACUGGAAUUCCUGGUGUAGCGGUGAAAUGCGCAGAUAUCGGGAGGAACACCCGUAGCGAAGGCGGCACUCUGGGCCGGAACUGACGCUGAGGAGCGAAAGCGUGGGGAGCAAACAGG
rnacentral:rRNA from 1 species